rnacentral:lncRNA from 1 species
AGGAAGCCUCAAAUGCUCCUCUCACUCACUUUUAUUCUGCUGAGUGCGUAUCUGAACAUAAUCAUUGUGUGUUACACUGUGUGCUUACAACUAUGUGUGUGCAUUGUGUGCUUACAGAUGUGUGCCUCUAAUGUGUUUGUGUGUGUGUACAUGCGUAAAUCCCUUAGAUGUAUAUUGCAAGUGUGGGCCGUCUAAUGCCCGAUAUCUGACCCUCUGACCCUCCGGAGGUUGUCCAAGGACAUAUUACGUUAUUUAAAAAAUCAACAAAACAUCAGUUUGCUGAAAAACCAACUCAACUUUCCUGGAAGUCAUCAGGACUUUAACUCUUUUGGUGGACUAAGAUAAGUUCAAGCUCUUGCAAAACAGCUUGCUCACACAACCUCACAGUUGUGAGGCCGUGUAAGUAAGGCCAUCCUGACCUAUUUUUAAAUCAUUAAUAUAAACAAUAAUAUAAAUAAUAAUGAUCUCCUCCAAUCUGAGUGCAGAGUUUAUCGUAUGAUAAGACACACAUAAGCAAUGCGCCACAGUGGCGCAUGUGUGUGUGUGUGCGCAGUGUUAAUUCAUUUAAAUUAAAAUGAAGCUCUAAAAACAGUAAUGAGUAUCUCUUACCAAACCUCUAACACAGAAAACAGAUCUGCAUCACAUCAGGACAAAGUCACAGUACAGCACCCUGACACUGACGUUGUCAUCAGUAACAGGGACCAAAGGUUACAGCCUCGCCCAUUUAUUGGAGAAAGCUUGCUCUUUUAUUGUCACUGAUAUCAAAUACACAGCAAAGUGAAGAAGUCAGUGCAAGUUGAUGAUCCACUUGUCUUUAUCACUAUACUCCAUUCAUCAAGUACUGAAAUAGUCACCAGUACCCUGAUUAUAUAGUUGUAUGUCCCUGUUUUAUAUUGAGGAAUAAUAAUAAAGCGCAGAGUGCUACAGCGUGAUGUCUUGGAUUCACUUUUGUAGCAGAAAGAUUCAAAAAUGUAACGCAGAUGAAAAUAUCUGCAUACUUUUACAGUUGCAACACAACUUUUUUGUUGUCUGCCAGCUAACAGCUUUGUAUUGAUACUCUAAAGAAUAUUUUCUGAAUGUAAAAUGAACACCUGACCUAUACUACCCACUGUUCUAAUUUUAAAACUAGCAGGUCAAGGUAGAACCAAAACCAUCAAAGAGAGGGGACUUUUUCUGGUCCUGAAACACAUGUGUAGCAUCAAGACAACCCUGUGUGUGAAACUCACAUAUUCCUCAAAGGAAAGGUCCCUUAUCUGGUUCCAGAUCACAGGAUAAUAUAAUCUUUUCAGACUUGUUUGUACUUUCAGGUUACUUAACUGACCCAAACCUCUGGCCCUUCACAAUUGGUCAAUUUUGAGAACAGAGACAGAGUUUUUCCAUCACUGACCAUCUAAAUAAACAUUAAUGCUUCAGCCCAGGUCUCCCAUUUGAGAUUUACUGUCAGUGUGUGAACACAUGGGAUACAAGGAAAGGUCUGAGGAGCAGGACGCUGACCUCCAGACCUCCGUCAUAAAACCCUGCCGACCAUGUACUGAUAAAAACUGCAUUCCUUUAGAGAAAGAAU